GUUCCGGUCUGACUGACAUCAUGGCCCUCCUUCAACCCCAUUCUUACUUCCUGCCCUGUCGUUGCUCUGUAAAAUCGUGUGAUUCUAAUUCUCUUCCCCGCUGUCUGCCCUUCUAGAGUCUAGACUGCAGUUUUGGGCUGUUUCGUUGACUUCUGUGUUCCUUGUCCCAGGACAAGGCCUGGGAACAGUCUCAGUAAAUACAUGUGGAUCGAAUGAAUAAAUACAUGAACGACAGCUGUCCCUGCCCCACCCCCAGCCCUCGCGGAGGGACACAAAAUACAAAAUGUCUGGUUUCCGCGCGUGUUCUUGGCACUUGGCAACUGCUCUGAUUGUGUGGGAUUGAACCCAAGGCCCAGCGAAUGCAGGUAUCAAACUCAGGACCUUGCACUUGCCAGGCAGGCACUUGUGCCUUUGUGCUAUAUCCCAGGACAGAGACGGAUUCUAUGGCCUUGAGCUAGGGAGCCUCCUGUCUCAGCCUCCCUAGUGCUGAGAUUAUAGACCCACACCACUGCAUCCUAGUAUGGUAAUUUGUUUCUUUUUACUGCUGAGUAGUACUUGUUAUAUAAAUACACUGCAUCAUUUUAAAAAUUUAUUAUAUCACAUCUUACCUAUUCAUGUGCUGAUAGACAUUUGUUUCCAGAUCAUAAUUAUUUUGAAUAAAGUUGCUGUAAACAUUC